rnacentral:lncRNA from 1 species
GGACACUUUUUAAAAAUGAAUACACAAUUUUACGAACCUUGAAAAAUACAGUGCCAAUUUGUAAGAAUUACAAGUUUCAAUUAAUCUAACUACAAUUCAGAAUGACCACAUGGAUCCGGAAAAUAGAGUAACAAUGACAAUUGGACUAGAUAAGAGCUUUUGGCAUUAUUUAAAUCAACACGUCACUGCACUGGAGUACACAAACACUUCUGGUGUUUCCUUCUUUUUUGCUAACUAUUGGUUUAGCCAAAUCAGUUAAGCAAUCUGAAUUAGAGCUAUGUGUGCAGUCACCACCACUUCGCCUACUAACAGUAUUUUCAGAGAGGCUCUCUAGCUGGCAUACAAAAACAGCAGUCAUUACUGACAAAUUUUACAAAUUAAACAACCAUCUUAUCAAGUGUUAGCUAUCACAGCCCCUAAUUCUAGCUGGUAACAACAUAUAAACUUCAUGGCUAAAGAUCAAAUUGUGUAGGCGAUUAAUUUCAUAUAAAUCUACAGAUAACUUCAAAUAUACUGAUUUUAAUCAUUGUUUAACAUGAUGCAUGCAAUAAUUUAACUCAUAACUCAAGGUUGUAUCUCAAACAAUACACAACUUGAUGAAUAUCAGGCACAUUCACAAAAGAAAAUUGAAAAUUGACAGAGCAAACAAACCAUUUUAUAUUUCAAGCAAGCUGGAAAUUACAUUAUUUGAUCAAGAGUAAUACCUUUGUAGGAGCCAAAACUAAAGAAACAGAAAAUAAAUCUCUGAACAUGAGAAACAGCUAAAAGCAAGAUUCCACCACAGUUUGAUGAAAACUCAACACACAGCAACUAACAUCAGUAAAUCCCAGAAGAAGGCCUCAAUUUCAGUCCAAAACUAACUUUAGCAAAAUCAAGAAUCAGUGGAAAGAAAUGACAGAGUCUUAGAAGCAACCCCUGAAUUUUAAUUUUCCAAAUUUGGAAUUCACUUUGAAUUCCAGAAUUUUCUUUAGCUUUUGCUUCAGCAGAAGAUUAAAAGAAAUCUCUAUGUGGUAUAUUU